ensembl:lncRNA
CUUGGGAUGUCCCUACCCUAAACCCUAACCUUAACCCCUACCCUUAACCUUACCCUAAACUUGUUUUUAAAUUACUCACAAAUGCUGCCAUUAAGUCAGAAUAUCACCUUAACCUUUUUGCAUUUCAACUUUAAUGGGGUGAUGUCCGAAUUGGAAGCCACCAAGGAUCCCGUUUCAGCAUGCACACCCAUGCAGGAGCUGCUUCUGAUCACGUGACCUUACCCAGAAAGGCCCUAUGUAUACAGCAUUGUCCAGAACAAGGAAGCAAAUCAGUAAAAGGUGGGACCACUUCAGAGCAUCAAACAUCUGUGGUCCGUGAAGCAGAGCCCCAGAAGGAGGCUGCGCCACUGACGUGGGCAGGGAACAAGACCGACGCGCCUACGAAACACUCCAGUGAAGAACCAGGGGGCAAUGUCAAGAAAAAGAGUGGAGGCUCUUCCAGCGCUAUUGAGCUGAGCACUGACACACGUCAAGAGAAAGAUGAGUUGUCUGUCAGUGAGAGCUCUACUUCAGUGGUGGAUGACCCUCCUGUCAACACCACUACACCUACUGGCCCUCCUGUUAACACUGCCACACGUACUGGCCCUCCUGUCAACACUGCCACACCUACUGGUCCUCCUGUCAACACCACCACACCUACUGGCCCUCCUGUCAACACCGCCACACCUGCUGGCCCUCCUGUCAACACUGCCACACCUACUGGCCCUCCUGUCAACACCGCCACACCUACUGGCCCUCCUGUCAACACUGCCACACCUACUGGCCCUCCUGUCAACACCACCACACCUGCUGGCCCUCCUGUCAACACCACCACACCUACUGGCCCUCCUGUCAACACCACCACACCUACUGGCCCUCCUGUCAACAUUGCCACACCUACUGGCCCUCCUGUCAUCACCGCCACACCUACUGGCCCUCCAACCAUACCUAUAGCCUCUCCAAACCCAUCCCCACACCAGACACUGCCAGAAGACCAGGCCAAGGGUCCAUCGAAGGCAAACGUAGACGCACCAGUGAAUGAGCCAAACCAACCUAGUCCUACAUCAGUCACACAGGCCUCAUCCACACCCGAGACAGCUGAUCAGAACACAGGAGGACGUGCCUCAGACCCAACUCAACCAGCCAGUAAACUCUUGGAUGAGGAAGACCUGAAGGGGACGUCACACGGGUCAACGGAGCCAUCAAAAAGCCUUGAUGGUGAAGGCAACACAGAGGUUAGAGUUCUGAAUGAACUGAAGACCUCUAGUAACCAGACCGACGAGAAUAUAACAAAUGAAGCAAACUCAAAGAAGUGUGUUGACCAAUCCCAAGUAUCCCUUGGUGAUCAGAGGGGUUCUGACCCAACAGAUGAGCCAAACACUAGUCAAAAACAAUCUACUAGUCCAGCUCCCUCAGUAACACAGGAGGUGCCUGAGAAGACAUCUAAGAGAAAAGAUCAGAACAGAACAGAACCUGCCUCAGGUCCAAGUCAAUCAGUAGGGCAGUUGUCAUAUAAAGACGUUCUGGUGGGGACCUCUCAGGAGACGGGAGAUCUGUCCAGGAGGCAAGGGGUUGGCGACAGUAACUACAGAGACCAGAGCAGGAAAAAUGAAGCAAACUCACAGAACUUUGUUUUUGGAUCCCACAAGGCAGAGGUAAUACAUAUAUUUAUAUUCUGUUAUUAUUCAGCAUGUGGAAUGAACUGUGUUUUUGUUGUACUGUAACAUUCUUGAACUUAAUAAUUAGGCUGGUGACAAGCCUCAAGAAUCAAGGCAAGCGACUUCCAAGCCAAACAAGGAACCAGAGAAGCUGAGUUAUAUGGGUGGUGGAGAUGCAUCCAAGUCAUCUACUAUUGACGCCACAGUUGCAGGGAAAGAUCUGCCUCUGAACCAACGUAAUGAAGACUGCUUCCAACAUCAGCCACUGCCACCUCAGCUUCCACCAAGAACACAACAUGUCCCUAGGAGUGAUGACCUCACCGUCUAUUUCCAUGCUGUCAUUUCCAAAGACUUCAAACUGAACUCAACUGACCGGAUAUUCUUAAGAUCUGGAAGUCUUUUUGGAUCUUGGGACAUAGAUGGCCCAGAAAUGUUUGUCACCCGGUAUGGUCUUUAAUUCAAAUAAUGUAAUUGUGUGUAGAAGGAUAUUAGUAUACCCUGGAUACAUUACUGAAAUACCUCACUGUCAUUGAUCAAAAUUAUAAUCUUUUUAACUGAUAACAAUUUCAAGAUGGAUGUUUAGACCAGUUGUACAUUAUCUUCAUUCAACUUAUAUCAACAUGAUAUUUAGUCACAUAUUUUCUGUUGUUUACACAGAGU